rnacentral:rRNA from 1 species
UACGUAGGGCGCAAGCGUUGUCCGGAAUUAUUGGGCGUAAAGAGCUCGUAGGCGGUUUGUCGCGUCUGCUGUGAAAACCCUGAAGGCUCAACCUUCGGGCUUGCAGUGGGUACGGGCAGACUAGAGUGCGGUAGGGGUGACUGGAAUUCCUGGUGUAGCGGUGGAAUGCGCAGAUAUCAGGAGGAACACCGAUGGCGAAGGCAGGUCACUGGGCCGCAACUGACGCUGAGGAGCGAAAGCAUGGGGAGCGAACAGG